rnacentral:rRNA from 1 species
AGUGAACGCUGGCGGUAGGCCUAACACAUGCCAGUCGAACGGCAGCACAGUAAGAGCUUGCUCUUACGGGUGGCGAGUGGCGGACGGGUGAGGAAUACAUCGGAAUCUACUUUUUCGUGGGGGUUAACGUAGGGAAACUUACGCUAAUACCGCAUACGACCUACGGGUGAAAGCAGGGGAUCUUCGGACCUUGCGCGAUUGAAUGAGCCGAUGUCGGAUUAGCUAGUUGGCGGGGUAAAGGCCCACCAAGGCGACGAUCCGUAGCUGGUCUGAGAGGAUGAUCAGCCACACUGGAACUGAGACACGGUCCAGACUCCUACGGGAGGCAGCAGUGGGGAAUAUUGGACAAUGGGCGCAAGCCUGAUCCAGCCAUACCGCGUGGGUGAAGAAGGCCUUCGGGUUGUAAAGCCCUUUUGUUGGGAAAGAAAAGCAGCAGGUUAAUACCCCGCUGUUCUGACGGUACCCAAAGAAUAAGCACCGGCUAACUUCGUG